rnacentral:rRNA from 1 species
UACGGGGGGGGCAAGCGUUGUUCGGAAUUACUGGGCGUAAAGGGCUCGUAGGCGGCCAACUAAGUCAGACGUGAAAUCCCUCGGCUUAACCGGGGAACUGCGUCUGAUACUGGAUGGCUUGAGUCCGGGAGAGGGAUGCGGAAUUCCAGGUGUAGCGGUGAAAUGCGUAGAUACCUGGAGGAAUACCGGUGGCGAAGGCGGCAUCCUGGACCGACAUUGACGCUGAGGAGCGAAAGCUAGGGGAGCAAACGGG